GAAAGACCUUGGUAUCCUGCCUUCCAAGCCCAGUGGGAUUUCCACACCAUUCCUCCCCCUGCUCCCGCCCCCUGCACUGCUGCCUUCCUGAUGGGUUCCAGAAAUUGUUGAGCCUGUGCUUAGGCCCAAGAGGCUAGCUAAACUGACCCCGGAGUCAGGCACUGUCUCCCUCUGAUGGACACAUCUGGGCCCCAGCGUGGAGAGCAUAGACGGAUGGGCUCAUCAUGCACAAUGAAUUGGAGGGGUCAUCAUCAUCCUUCCAAAAAGCCGAGAGGGAAGGCUGCAGGAGAGCCAAGUCUGAGGAAACCCUCUUUGCCCAUGACCUCCUCCCCACACCUCGAGCAGUUGGGGUGCACUGCCAAGGCUAAGGAUGCUGUCAUCUGCCUGUGAUGCCUGGAACUGCAGCAGCCACUUUAGGAUUAGGAGGAUACUGUAACAUGCUAGAGAUGGCAGAGCAAAAGUGAGGAUGGAACCCAGGUCCUUGAGGACAUAACCAAGUCCCUGAAUUAACCAGUCCAGAUUACCUUGCCCCUGGACUUCUCAUUACGUGAAAUAAAAAUAGUCCUUA